AGAUGGGCAAUGCUUGGUGCUCUAGGUUGCAUUACCCCAGAAGUUCUUGAAAAAUGGGUGAAGGUGGACUUCAAAGAACCAGUAUGGUUCAAAGCAGGAUCACAAAUCUUCAGUGACGGUGGACUUGACUACUUGGGCAACCCCAACCUUGUCCAUGCUCAGAGUAUCCUAGCUGUGCUAGGUUUCCAAGUGGUGCUUAUGGGACUUGUUGAAGGUUUCAGAAUUAAUGGACUUCCCGGAGUUGGAGAAGGCAACGAUUUAUACCCUGGCGGCCAAUACUUUGACCCACUCGGCUUAGCUGAUGACCCUACAACAUUUGCAGAACUCAAGGUGAAGGAGAUCAAGAACGGAAGAUUGGCGAUGUUCUCCAUGUUCGGAUUCUUCGUUCAAGCUAUUGUCACCGGCAAAGGCCCUCUUGAGAACCUAUUGGACCACCUUGACAACCCUGUUGCUAAUAAUGCUUGGGUUUAUGCCACUAAAUUUGUUCCUGGAUCUUAAGAUUUAUGUUUCAAUUCUUCUAAAGUACUUUUGUGUAACUGAACCAUUGAGAAAUGCAAAUAUGCUGUAGAUGAAAUAAUUUUGAGUUGAGUCGUAUUCUUUGAGAGUAACAUUUUACACUGUCAACUUGUUUAAAUGGUCUUCUAGAUUCUCAAUUACUCUUUUUAAUGGGAAUGAAAAAAUAGUGUCAUGUAUCAAAUUGAUAUGAAUAAAUGAAUGCACUCUAACUAGAAAGAUAAACCUGUACGGGUCAAAA
rnacentral:lncRNA from 1 species